rnacentral:rRNA from 1 species
GGCUCAGAUUGAACGCUGGCGGCAGGCCUAACACAUGCAAGUCGAGCGGUAACAGGAAGCAGCUUGCUGCUUCGCUGACGAGUGGCGGGCGGGUGAGUAAUGUCUGGGAAACAGCCUGAUGGAGGGGGAUAACUACUGGAAACGGUAGCUAAUACCGCAUAACGUCGCAAGACCAAAGAGGGGGACCUUCGGGCCUCUUGCCAUCAGAUGUGCCCAGAUGGGAUUAGCUUGUUGGUGGGGUAACGGCUCACCAAGGCGACGAUCCCUAGCUGGUCUGAGAGGAUGACCAGCCACACUGGAACUGAGACACGGUCCAGACUCCUGCGGGAGGCAGCAGUGGGGAAUAUUGCACAAUGGGCGCAAGCCUGAUGCAGCCAUGCCGCGUGUAUGAAGAAGGCCUUCGGGUUGUAAAGUACUCUCAGCGGGGAGGAAGGUGUUGUGGUUAAUAACCACAGCAAUUGACGUUACCCGCAGAAGAAGCACCGGCUAACUCCGUCCCAGCAGCCGCGGUAAUACGGAGGGUGCAAGCGUUAAUCGGAAUCACUGGGCGUAAAGAGCGUGUAGGCGGAUUGAUAAGUUUGAAGUGAGAUCCUAUAGCUUAAACUAUAGAACUGCUUUGAAAACUGUUAAUCUAGAAUGUGGGAGAGGUAGAUGGAAUUUCUGGUGUAGGGGUAAAAUCCGUAGAGAUCAGAAGGAAUACCGAUUGCGAAGGCGAUCUACUGGAACAAUAUUGACGCUGAGACGCGAAAGCGUGGGGAGCAAACAGGAUUAGAUUACCCUGGUAGUCCACGCCCUAAACGAUGUACACUAGUUGUUGUGAGGCUCGACCUUGCAGUAAUGCAGUAAAACACAUUAAAGUGUACCGCCUGGGGAGUACGGUCGCAAGAUUAAAACUCAAAAGGAAUAGACGGGGACCCGCACAAGCGGUGGAGCAUGUGGUUUAAUUCGACGAUACACGAAGAACCUUACCUGGACUUGACAUAGUAAGAACUAUCUAGAGAUAGAUUGGUGUCUGCUUGCAGAAAACUUAUAUACAGGUGCUGCACGGCUGUCGUCAGCUCGUGUCGUGAGAUGUUGGGUUAAGUCCCGCAACGAGCGCAACCCUCGUCCUUAGUUGCUAACAGUUCGGCUGAGAACUCUAAGGAGACUGCCUACGCAAGUAGGAGGAAGGUGAGGAUGACGUCAAGUCAUCAUGGCCCUUACGUCCAGGGCUACACACGUGCUACAAUGGUCGGUACAAAGGGUUGCUAGUCCGCGAGGGCAUGCUAAUCUCAAAAAGCCGAUCGUAGUCCGGAUUGGAGUCUGCAACUCGACUCCAUGAAGUCGGAAUCGCUAGUAAUCGCGGAUCAGAAUGCCGCGGUGAAUACGUUCCCGAGCCUUGUACACACCGCCCGUCACACCAUGGGAGUU